UACGUAGGUGGCAAGCGUUAUCCGGAAUUAUUGGGCGUAAAGAGAGAGCAGGCGGUCAUUUAAGUCUGAAGUUAAAAGCAGUAGCUCAACUAUUGUAUGCUUUGGAUACUGGAAGGCUAGAGUGCGAGAGAGGUUAGCGGAACUCCAUGUGUAGCGGUGAAAUGCGUAGAUAUAUGGAAGAACACCAGUGGCGAAGGCGGCUAACUAGCUCGAAACUGACGCUCAUUCUCGAAAGCGUGGGUAGCAAAUAGG
rnacentral:rRNA from 1 species